UACGUAGGGUGCAAGCGUUAAUCGGAAUUACUGGGCGUAAAGCGUGCGCAGGCGGUUAUGUAAGACAGUUGUGAAAUCCCCGGGCUCAACCUGGGAACUGCAUCUGUGACUGCAUAGCUAGAGUACGGUAGAGGGGGAUGGAAUUCCGCGUGUAGCAGUGAAAUGCGUAGAUAUGCGGAGGAACACCGAUGGCGAAGGCAAUCCCCCUGGACCUGUACUGACGCUCAUGCACGAAAGCGUGGGGGAGCAAACAGG
rnacentral:rRNA from 1 species